rnacentral:rRNA from 1 species
GUGGGGAAUCUUAGACAAUGGGCGCAAGCCUGAUCUAGCCAUGCCGCGUGAGUGAUGAAGGCCCUAGGGUUGUAAAGCUCUUUCAGCUGGGAAGAUAAUGACGGUACCAUCAGAAGAAGCCCCGGCUAACUCCGUGCCAGCAGCCGCGGUAAUACGGAGGGGGCUAGCGUUGUUCGGAAUUACUGGGCGUAAAGCGCACGUAGGCGGACCAGAAAGUCAGAGGUGAAAUCCCAGGGCUCAACCUUGGAACUGCCUUUGAAACUCCUGGUCUUGAGGUCGAGAGAGGUGAGUGGAAUUCCGAGUGUAGAGGUGAAAUUCGUAGAUAUUCGGAGGAACACCAGUGGCGAAGGCGGCUCACUGGCUCGAUACUGACGCUGAGGUGCGAAAGCGUGGGGAGCAAACAGGAUUAGAUACCCCUGUAGUCC